rnacentral:other from 2 species
CAGCCCCUGCUCUGUUGGUGAUCAUCGGAGUAUUGAGCCAACUCUCAUGAUAAGGGUAGCUUGUGUUGAUGGAAGAUGGGAAACUGCACUGAUUCCCUGAGGUCGUCACUUGGCAUCGCCCACCUAUACUAAUAGGUUUAAUCAUUUCGUUGACACGGCAGCGUGGGGGUUUU